rnacentral:tRNA from 1 species
GGCUCCAUGGUGUAAUGGUUAGCACUCUGGACUCUGAAUCCAGCGAUCCAAGUUCAACUCUCGGUGGAACCU